ACCGGAAGUUAUGGAGAACUGUAGAUUUGCAGAGAAGUGACAGGACACAGGAGAGCAGUUUUAGGCUUCAAAGGGCAGGAAAUUGGGAAGGUAGAUACAUAUUCGGAAACUAAUGGAGUAAGAAUUGUUUGCAGAUUCCCCUGGUACCUUAACUGGUCUGGUAUUAAUAGGGGACCCUAUUACCACAUGUCUUUCUCCCUCAGUGUAUGAUAUAAUUUGUAAUCUUGGGUUUCAACUCAGAGAAAAUUGUGAUAUCAAUAGCAUUGUAACUCAGAAUGGUGAAGUAUGCUGGAAAACAAUCACAGACUGUGUGAGCUACACAGAGUCAGAGCAGGGUCUGGAUUACUGGGGAAGCGUGAGGCUGCUGGGCCCUGUGUGUGAGGCUGUCCAUUCACAUUUCUUAUCUCUGACCAAGGGGCAAUUUGAAAUUCGAUAUGCACCGUGGUUCCAGUGGACAAGUUUUCCAGAGUUAUUUCCUGAAAUAUUUGAUGCCUUGGAAAGUCUACAAUCUCCUGCUAUUUCUCUUAGCUUAAUGAAACUGACAUCGUGUCUAGAACGAGCCUUGGGUGAUGUAUUUUUACUGAUUGGGAAGGAAUGCCCCUUUCUUUUAAGAGAUCUGCUUUCAUCUGAGGAGCUUGCUCAAGUCUUCAGUCAGUCUGUGAUGAAUGUGCUAAAAGUCUUCGUUGGCUCUCCGUGUGGUCUCAACCUGCGUAACGUCUUAUGGCAUGGGUUUGCGUCACCUGAAGAAAUUCCUCCAAAAUACUGUUCAAUGAUGAUACUGUUGACGGCAGGAUUGGGUCAGUUACUGAAGAGUUACCUUCAAAACACUAAACUUACAUUGGCAC
rnacentral:lncRNA from 1 species